rnacentral:sRNA from 1 species
UGCACCUGCGGUGGACGAAGCAUAUUCUUAUAAGAAAUAUACUGGAUAUAAGGUUUUGCAGGUGACCGGAAUAUGUUCAGUCUGGUAGAAUUAAGCAAUGCUUUAAUUC